rnacentral:rRNA from 1 species
UACAGAGGGUGCGAGCGUUGUUCGGAAUUAUUGGGCGUAAAGCGCUUGUAGGCGGCACGUCAAAUCGCGUGUGAAAUCCCCAGGCUUAACCUGGGAAGUGCGCGCGAAACUGACGAGCUUGAGUGCCGGAGAGGGUCGCGGAAUUCCCGGUGUAGAGGUGAAAUUCGUAGAUAUCGGGAGGAACACCAGUGGCGAAGGCGGCGACCUGGACGGACACUGACGCUGAGACGGCGAAAGCGUGGGGAGCAAACAGG